UUUUCGAAAAGGUACUCUCUACGAGUGCCAUGUUCAAUGUCCUUCUUCGUCUCGCACUUGCCGACCACAAACGGUCUUUUCCAGCACCUUGACGCCAUGUUUUCGUAGCACCAAAAUUCCUUCUUGUGAGAUUGUGAGCUUUUAAGAUGCAUUAAGCAUCUACAACCGCACUAAGUGCGGUUCCACGAUACCGGCCAUGCGGUACACUUGAACCAACUUGUGCUGUGGUGUUGGGGGCCUGUCCCCGGCAGCCCGGAAGCAAAAUGAUGUGACCGCACCUAAUUCAGGAAAGCCGACGACUAUUUCAUUAUUUUUGGCAUGAACUACUAACCUUUUUUUAUCAACUCUACAUAAUGUGAAAAUUUCAUGGACUUAACCUCAUCGGACUUCUCGUCAAACUUUGUCUUCUCUUCUAUCUUAAAGAAAUUUUUUUGAACCAAUGUAACGUCUUAUUUAAUAUAUAUAAUUAACGAAAUAAUGUAACAUGGACUAAAGAUAUUUUGAUAAUCAAAAAAAAAAAAAGAAA